UCCUACUCCCAGUGCUGGGCUAGAUAGAAAAUUUGACGCCAGCUCUAUUUGGUGAUGCCGUCGUCAUCUCGCUCAAGUUCCUGAAUGCUGACCGCCAAAAAACUUCUCCGCUUAGAGUCGAUGGGAUCAGGGCACUCUAGCUAAAGCCUGAAGGUGUGACCAUGGUGAAGCUCCACAGGCGCUGCCGUGACAGGACGCCGGGAACACGCCGACGGGGUGCAGAUCCGGCGGCUCCCCACAGGAAUCUGGUGAACCACCGCACGGAUCUGGAUGCUCAUCACGCGGAACUGGCCGCCAAGCACGAAGUUCGCCGGAGCAAGCAAAACGACGGGAAAGGGAGGGGAGAUUUGGGGAGGAAGAAAGGAGGGGGAAGCGAGAGUUGGCCCCGCCGCCACCCUCCUCGUCGCUCGCCGGGCUUUCGGGGGUGCAGCUCUGGUGGCGGCGGAGGCAGGGAGCAGCGGUGAUAGGCUUGCGGCGGGGAGGUGGGGGGGCCGCCCAUGUCGCCCGCUCGGAUGACCAGACCGAUGAAUUGUUGGUAUCACAUUAGAACUAAGCCUAUAGGAAUUUUAAUCUACAAUGACAGAAUCCAAAUAUCGGUCAAGUACUAUUUAUCACGGCAAUAUCUGAUUGGGUUUUUUUUAACUAUCUUCAGUGUGUUUCUGAACUUGAAGGAAGAUUAUGCUUCUUUGUGGGCUAUUUCAAGGAACAAUUAUGCAAGAUAUAUUAACAGAUGAUUAUUCCUACA